UCCAAUCAUAGAACACCAAACAUCCAAAAAAUCUGCAAGAUGUCUGUCAAUUGAAAUUUUCAUUGAAAAGAAACUUAACUUAAGUACUCAGACUUGAAUGCAAUUUUUUUUUUGCAGAACAUGCUACACAGGCAGCAAUGAGGAGAAGAAAUGUACAAUGGCACUAACUCACAACAAAACAGAGUCUUUGUUAAUCAUAUGUUGGAGGUGUGCAAAACAUUUGCCACAUCAAACCUUGAGAACAUGUCAACAACGUCUGAUGAAAAUGAUGCUGAGGACGAAUAAACAAGAUUCUUCUUCAUUACCUUCCUAGUAUACUCUUCUACACCAUUAUGUACUGAGCUUCAUAUCAAAAUGCUGCAUUAUAUGUUAAUAGCAUAACUUCAAACAUUUGCAACUUGAUAUAGCCUAUACAUGACCUAAAGAGCUGCACAACACUGAUUUAAUGAUAAGUCAUCAAUGCAUUCAAUUUCAGAAUCCAAUAACAAAUUGUGACAGUUAUGACAACCCAUGUUUUUUUUUUUUUUAAUAAAAUGUUAUCUUGUUAAUCAAUAUUACUUCUCAAAACUGGCUGUCACUUCAAUGAAAUAACAUAUUAGUCACACAAAAGGCGUCCGAAGCUCAUGUCUCGAGAAAAAGCAAAACGAUUAAUUCAUGAAAGCGUCACAUGAUGUGUGACUCGGUGCUAAUUAAGUUACGAGAGGAACCAUUGUAUGAGAAUUUGAACACAUUAUAAGGAAUAGUAUGGAGAACGAAAUUUCAUCCAUUUAUAAGAAGAAGUCAAGACCGCACGCUACGAUUUGGACCGUUGUCCACGUAGAGGUAGUUUGCGCCCUGAAAAUCCUCACAAUUGGCAUUUUUCUCAGCCAAAGUUGCAACAGGAAUAACAGUGAUGGCCCUAAAUCACACAGUAAGGUCAUGAGAAUAAAGGAAAUGAUCACCAAAUAAAUAAGCUUGGAAACGAUGGUCUUUUUUUGUUCAAAAUGAUUUCAAGUCGACAACAAUAUUAACUCUUCGAGUCUUUGAACUGUGAUUAAUACGUACAUCUUAAUGGGACCAAAACAACACACCGAAUGACAAAAACAUUUACAAACUUUAACUAAGCAAAAUUACCUUUUUACCAUGCGAUGAACAAUUUUAGUAAAAAUCAUAGUUCCAGUGUUCCCCUGUUUUGUAUCCUACU